AUCCUUUCACUCAAGUCUUCUCCUGUCAUGACCAGUUUUGCUACUGGUAUUGCAGAAACUCUCACUAUAUUGAAGUAUAAGCAUGUGCUAUGCUUUGUAGGAUUGUAAUUUAAACUGAAGGUAAACAAAGAUUUGUUGAACUUGUCAUGUAGGACUGUCUGAAAUUCUUCACAAGAGGGAAUGUUUUGCAGUACAUUUCACCUUUAUAUUUGGUACCUUUUGAUAAUAAACAGUGGGUAAUUGUCAUUUACACUUUCUUUGAUAUUUAAUCUUUAAAAAGAAAAAAAGAAAUCUGCAUGAAACUGGAUUUCAACUACUGAAGCUGAUAAAGGGUCAUUCUCACAGAAAUGGUUUUGCUGGCUCAAUGCCUCGGUUCCACAGAAUAAGUAGGAAGCCAGACUCCUCCUCAUUUAUUUUAUUAAAAGCCUUCUUAGAUAAUUUCUCCAUGUUUUUCUACAAAAAUGCAGAUGCAAAGCAACUUGAAGACCUACUUAAGACUUACAGGAAUUCUAUAAAACGUGAUGAACUUACAUGAACUUACUUUGCAUUUACAAUUUAAAGGAAUUUAGUAUAUAGUCUGUUGGCCCAUCUCAGUUCACAGUCAGAUUACAUUUUCAUGCCAUAAAUAAUUUCAUGCCACAUGCACACUGAGAAAGCCUAAGCAAAGAUUUGUUAUAGUACUUUAGGUCAACAUACCAAAGAGGUAAAGUGAAUAUACUAUUACAACCAAAUUAAGAAUCCAUCUCAUUUAUGCACAAAAGCAGCUAACAGUCAUGAAUAGUACUGCUGGCCUAAAGAUUAUUGGUUAGAACAGAAGAUUAAAUCUGCUGCAGUAGUAUUGGAAAGUACUGAACUACUGAGGAAGGGUACUUCUUGUCUGUAAGAACUAAGAUAGCAAAUAAGCGCGUUCUUGGUAUAAUAGAUUAUAGGACAUCAAUAUUAGAACAUACAACCAACUAUGGAAAAUUUGCCAUUGUUCUGUAUGUCAAGGAAGACAAAACAUAUGCUUGUUUCCAUUGACACUGGUACCUAUAUAUACUACCUACCUUAUUUUGUAUUCUUUGUACAACCCCUCCCCCUAUCAAUAUCCCUGCUGUAAUAAACUCCAGGUAGUAAGGAUGUCACUACAUGGACAUUUGAUCAUAUUAGUAACUGGAUUAAAAAAAAAAAAAAAAAAAAAAGGAAGAUUUAGAAAGUAUUUCCCAAUAGCAAGGAAAUGUUUUUAUAUUUAUGUCAUACUUUUUAUCACCUUUUUUGUUGUAGUACGUCUUUUGUUACAAUUGCUCUCUAAUUACACUAAUACUUUUGUCAUAUAUGAAGAAUUUAAGCAGUGAAAAUGAAGUGAUUAUCUGUACUU
ensembl:lncRNA